GAUGAACGCUAGCGGCAGGCCUAAUACAUGCAAGUCGGACGGGAGCACGGGAGCAAUCCUGGUGGCGAGUGGCGAACGGGUGAGUAAAGUAUCGGAACGUGCCCAGUCGUGGGGGAUAACGUAGCGAAAGUUACGCUAAUACCGCAUACGAUCUAUGGAUGAAAGCGGGGGAUCGCAAGACCUCGCGCGAUUGGAGCGGCCGAUAUCAGAUUAGGUAGUUGGUGGGGUAAAGGCUCACCAAGCCGACGAUCUGUAGCUGGUCUGAGAGGACGACCAGCCACACUGGGACUGAGACACGGCCCAGACUCCUACGGGAGGCAGCAGUGGGGAAUUUUGGACAAUGGGCGCAAGCCUGAUCCAGCCAUGCCGCGUGCAGGAUGAAGGCCUUCGGGUUGUAAACUGCUUUUGUACGGAACGAAAAGGUUUGACUUAAUACGUUGGACUCAUGACGGUACCGUAAGAAUAAGCACCGGCUAACUACGUGCCAGCAGCCGCUGUAAUAC
rnacentral:rRNA from 1 species